rnacentral:tRNA from 1 species
GCGGACGUAGUUUAAUGGUAAAACUAAAGCUUCCCAAGCUUUCGUCGUGGGUUCGAUUCCCAUCGUCCGCUCCA